rnacentral:rRNA from 1 species
ACCUCGAGUGCCUGUACAUGCAGGCUGUCUGGGUGUCUAAAACACACCCAAAGAAAGGGCCGGGCAAGACCGGUGCCAGCCGCCGCGGUAAUACCGGCGGCUCGAGUGGUGGCCACUUUUAUUGGGCUUAAAGCGUUCGUAGCUGGGUUGUUAAGUCUCUUGGGAAAUCCGGCGGCUUAACCGUCGGGCGUCUAAGAGAUACUGGCAAUCUUGGAACCGGGAGAGGUGAGGGGUACUUCGGGGGUAGGAGUGAAAUCCUGUAAUCCUCGAGGGACCACCUGUGGCGAAGGCGCCUCACCAGAACGGCUUCGACAGUGAGGGACGAAAGCUGGGGGAGCAAACCGGAUUAGAUACCCGGGUAGUCCCAGCCGUAAACGAUGUGCGUUAGGUGUAUCGACGACCACGAGUCGUCGAGGUGCCGAAGGGAGACCGUGAAACGUACCGCCUGGGAAGUACGGUCGCAAGGCUGAAACUUAAAGGAAUUGGCGGGGGAGCACCACAACAGGUGGAGCCUGCGGUUUAAUUGGACUCAACGCCGGGAAGCUCACCGGAUAGGACAGCGGAAUGAUUGCCGGGCUGAAGACUCUGCAUGACUAGCUGAGAGGGGGUGCAUGGCCGUCGUCAGUUCGUACUGUGAAGCAUCCUGUUAAGUCAGGCAACGAGCGAGACCCACGCCAACAGUUGCCAGCACGAUCCCCGGAUCGGUGGGGACACUGUUGGGACCGCCUCUGCUAAAGAGGAGGAAGGAAUGGGCAACGGUAGGUCAGCAUGCCCCGAAUUAUCCGGGCUACACGCGGGCUACAAUGGGCAGGACAAUGGGUAUCGACACCGAAAGGUGAAGGCAAUCUCCUAAACCUGUCCGUAGUUCGGAUUGUGGGCUGUAACUCGCCCACAUGAAGCUGGAAUCUGUAGUAAUCGCGUUUCAAAAUAGCGCGGUGAAUAUGUCCCUGCUCCUUGCACACACCGC